UCCCAGGGUAAAACAAAACUCCACAGCGACGGAAACCCUAGCCGCCAGCGCUCUGUUGUUCGCUAUCCCGCGUGCUUCUCCUCUCCGUCGCCGUCCCCAUCCUCAUCCCCGUCCACGUCCCAUCGUCCCCUCCUCUCCGCUGCCGCCCCUUCGCCUCCUCUCAGUCGCCGCCUCGCUGGGCCACCGCAUCCUCCUCCCACACACCAAUCCAAGAGGCUGUAGUGCUCGCUUACUCACCGGCGGCCGCGAGGUCGCCCCCUCCUCUUCCCCCUUUCCCCUCCUGCUUGGAGAUGAGGGUGGGGGGGGGAGAUGGAGCUGCGCAGGCAACCGUCCGCGAAGAAGAAGACAUGAUCGGGUGUCACAGGAUGGGAGGGGCGAAGCGAUCACUAGCGGCGCGAGGGGAGGAGCUCGCUGGAGCGCAGCAUUGGGAGGAAAAGGAACAGGAGGGUGGUGUAUACGUGAGGACCGAGGCGGGGCAGCAGAGGCAACGCCUCGUUUGAUCUUGCACGGUUCAGAAACCAAGAGAGCAACAUAAUUUUAUGGUGGAUCUGUAGGAGUCAUCAACAAAUGGAAGAUAUGAUUUUGGGAACAUCUACCUUGGGCACAUGAUGCGUGGAAUUGAGUUUCUUUUAAUCAGGCAAGUUCCUUUCUCCGGUUCUUAUUGUGUUACUAAAUCCUAUUAGGAUUAGGAUGCACAGUCCAGGGUGGUUUAGGCCGUUGGCUAUUCUGUAAUGCUACUAUCUGCAGCAACACGACACAAUGGCUACCAUCCAUCUCAGAUCUCUUUCUAUCUAGCUAUAAAAUGAUGGACAAACUUUAACAUACACAAGUUGUAUGGCCUAACGUGGCUUUCAGCUAUCUAUCUAAGCCCUGCAUUUCCAUUAAAUAUGUGCAUAAACAUCAGCACAAUCCGAAUUUUCUCUGUUGUUACUUAUUACUUUGUAAUUUUUAUUUGUUAUUCUCACAUCCAAGUUAUCUUAUAUCUAUCUGUUACGUUCAUGAGUCUUGAAUGCAAUGCAUGCUACACUUAUGCACUGAAGGAUGAUGAAAUUGCUGCAUGUGCUAUCUUAUUGAUGUUUUCUCUGUGCUUCUGGAUUUUUUCACAUCUCUCCAGUUCUGUACCGAGACUUCUGCAAACACCAAUUCUGGCACGUAAUUAAUCCUUGCCUUUUUAUAUUUUACAUACUUUACUAUGUAUUUUGUCAUGAUUGUAACUACUCUGACCCAAAACAGAGAUUAACAGAUCCAAUGCUUUAUAUCGGGAUGCUCUUUAUCAUGUAUGGUAUGUCGAAGAUCACUAUUUUUGUAGCAUUAAUUACCAUCAUUUGGGGGCAUUUAGUAUGGGAUACGAGGCGAUGCUACUCCUUGUUUUGAAAGAGUGGCUAGCCAGUAGGUGUACAACAAGGAUAUUUUAACUAGCGAUGGAGAAGAUGCAAUAUUUGAUGUUCUGUUAGGGAAGACAACAAUGCCCAUAUAUGAGAUGGAUAGGCAGCCUGAGGUGUCCUUAAGAAUGCAUAUGAGUAAGUCACCCUUUUAAAUUUGUAUAUUUGAGAAGACAAUUCUAGCUGCAGAAUCAUGGAAAAACUGCCAUGAACUGCAUCAUUUGA